rnacentral:rRNA from 1 species
AGUGAACGCUGGCGGCGUGCUUAACACAUGCAAGUCGAACGAGAACGGAAUAUAGCUUGCUAUAUUUGUCAGCUAAGUGGCGCACGGGUGAGUAAUGUAUAGAUAACCUGCCCUUAAGAAAGGAAUAACAGUUGGAAACGACUGCUAAUGCCCUAUAUGCCUUUAACACAUAAGUAUGCAAGGGAAACGCUUUAGUGCUUAAGGAUGGGUCUGUAUGGUAUCAGCUUGUUGGUGAGGUAAUGGCUCACCAAGGCUAUGACGCCUAACAGGUUUGAGAGGAUGAUCAGUCACACUGGAACUGAGACACGGUCCAGACUCCAACGGGAGGCAGCAGUGGGGAAUAUUGCACAAUGGACGAAAGUCUGAUGCGGCAACGCCGCGUGGAGGAUGACGCAUUUCGGUGCGUAAACUCCUUUUAUAUAGGAAGAUAAUGACGGUACUAUAUGAAUAAGCACCGGCUAACUCCGUGCCAGCAGCCGCCGUAAUAC